GAUGAACGCUGGCGGCGUGCCUAACACAUGCAAGUCGAGCGAGAAGCUCAUGACGGAAUCUUCGGAGGACGGAUUGAGUGGAAAGCGGCGGACGGGUGAGUAACGCGUGGGUAACCUGCCCUGUACAGAGGAAUAGCCAUUGGAAACGAUGAUUAAUGCCUCAUAAGACUACAGUAUCGCAUGAUACAGUAGCCAAAAACUCCGGUGGUACAGGAUGGACCCGCGUUAGAUUAGCUAGUUGGUAAGGUAAAGGCUUACCAAGGCGACGAUCUAUAGCCGACCUGAGAGGGUGAUCGGCCACACUGGAACUGAGACACGGUCCAGACUCCUACGGGAGGCAGCAGUGGGGAAUCUUGGACAAUGGGGGCAACCCUGAUCAGCCAUGCCGCGUGAGUGAGAAGGCCUAGGGUGUAAAG
rnacentral:rRNA from 1 species